UUUUUUUUUUUUUUUUUUUGGUAUUUUACUUCCUUGCCUUAAGUUGCCUGCAGAUGUUUGUAUUACAAAUAUAUGGUAUACUAAAUAUAUAGUAUGCACAUUAAUUUCUUUGGAUUGCUUAAGGGUAUAUUGUUAAUAAUAGGGGGUUUAACCAUAAAUUAUAACAAUUAUGAAGUAAUAUAUAUUAGAAAAUUAACACAAUUAUGAAUUUUUUUUUGUAAAAUUCAAAUUUAAUUAAUAAGAAAUGAAAUAGGCAGUAAGCAUUUACAAACGGAAAACAAAAUCCUACAACAACUCUAGGACUCUACACCUUAUUAAAAAAAAAAAACUAGUUCUCUAUGCCUCAGAGAAGCUAAACAAUCCUACAAAUAAACUGCAAAAUAAAUCACAAUAACGCAAAUUAUGUUAAGCUAAUAAAUACUACUGUGCAACAAAAUUUUUGUCUUUGUCCCGCGUGAAACUACAAAGUCAAGAAAUCUGCCUAAACAUUUUGUUAGCAUUUUUCCAAAAGCAGAAGAUGGAAAAUUGCCCAUUUGUACUGGGGAGUUCGUGAUCUUUUCCUCAUUCUAGUCUACUUACAAUUCUUGGAAAAAGGAAUACUCACAUCUCAAACAACAGCCUGUUCAUCUGCAGCGUCCCCCAGAAUUCUAGAAAGUAGGUGGCAAUAUUAAUUACAUUUCAAAAUUGACUGCUGCGAUAACUAAUUCGAUGGCGCUCCUUAGUGGGAGCUCGAUGUCGCUGAGCUCGCAUUCGGGGAAUGCGAGCUUACUUGAGCUGAGGCAUGCAAGUUCACUUGAGCUGAGCUCGCAUUCGUGAAAUGCGAGGUCAGUGAGCUCGUAUUCCACGAAUGCGAAGACCCCUUUUGCAGAACAAGCUCCAAAAAUCGCCCCCCCGUUGUAGAAUUCCUUUUUUUUUUCAUCAUAAACUAAGAAUUCACCCCAUUAGUUGAUAGAUUGGCUAAAAUGAUUUAGUAAAUAAAGAUUAUUGUCUCCUUAUGCAAGUCCAUUUGCUACCAUAAAGGAAAAGAAAUCAUAAAGAAUACAUGCUGUUAUUUAAUCUAAUAUUCUUGGUGCACAUAAGAGUUCUAAGCUGGUUGAGAAUUUGUGGAGAAGUUGGAAAGUGGAACUAUAGUUAAUGUUCGGCCACUGUUGUGUAAUAUUGUGCUUCUUGGAUUUGGUUUCUUGUUUCAUGUUGGUAUUUUAAUGAUGUUUCUCCAUCCUUUCUACGGUUCUUGUUUAGUGGUUAGAUGGUGGUUCUUGGGGGAAGAAACGGUGAUAGUGUUUGAGGAUCAUUUAAUUGGGAAAGGUUGUGGUAAAUAGGAAAGGGUUUUUCUUGCUCUUCAAAAGAGGUUUAAUGCUGUCACUUUUUACAUGUAGACCAAUCACAUAACCAUAAUAUGAGGAGGUUAAGUGGUACACCUCGUACAAUUGUGCAAGCAUUUAUAUACCAAUUUGCUUGAGCUGUAUGUUGUUCACUGCAGGAUGAAUCACUUACAGAAUUAUGGAUACUUGUCUUGUCAACUUGUCCUGUUCUGCUAUGUUCUGGAUUAAGAUUCUGGGAGAAAUACUUCAUUUAAAAUUUACAUAAAGAAUCAAUACUGUACAGACUUCUUAGCUUUUCUGCUUAAAAGUUUUGUGCAUAACAGAACAUCACCCUAUCAGUGUGCAUAGUUGAAGAAGUCUCCUCUACAUAGUCCUGUGCAAUCAAGGACAAUUUCUGACUGCAUCACAAGGGUCUGAACCAGAUGGAACACUUGCUUCAUAUAAACAGAUAAUCUUUUUCCUUCUUAUAAUCCUUCUUAGUGCAUUCAGCUAAAAGUUAGAUUGCAAUCUUGAUUAAGUUUGGGUAUUGUAUAAGGUGGGUUAAGGUAUCUUCUGUUGAAAGGCACUUCCCAAAUUUGAGUGGGGAUGUAAAAUGUAUCCCUCAUGAAAUUAGAGUGGAUGAGACGAAAUUCUUACUUAAACCUCCUUUGCUACUCAACAUACUACCUUAUUCUGGACACAAUCUUGUCUGAUGAUGUAUAAAAGCAAUUAUCGCAUUGGAGAAGUCCUCUAUUAAGAAUUUUGUUUCAAGCAUAUACAUUGCCUCUUCUUGAAAAUAUGGAAUCGUAACUUUUGCAGUUCUACACUGUCGUAUGUCGGGUUGCAACUGUUCUAAAGACGAGAUAUACGGCACCUGGAUUUUGGAAUGCUGGGCUGGGGCUUUUCCUGGAAGGCGAACAGCUAAUAUCUGGAACUUCAGAGAGGAAACAUUUGCAGAAUUGCAUUGCUCAUGCCAGGGAACAUUUGGGUGAAGCAGAGAAUCGAUCAGAAGAUAUGGGAUCUGCUCAAACGAGGAAUACAGGUCCAUGAGCAUGUUUUUUCUAACUUAUGAGCAUUCUACUGCCUGACUGCUCAAUUGAUUUGUUAGAAUUGGCAUUGGUGAUGGUUCAAGUGUGUUUAUUUGUUUUGAUUUUUUAAUCCAGGAUUUUUAUUUGAAGGACACCUCACAGUUGAUCCUGAGCCUCCACAGCCUGAUUGGCUGGUGCAAUCAAACUUCUUGUCUGCUGCUGCUACCUUGUUUUCUGGAGAAUCUUCUAAUGAGCCAGUAGGCAAUAGUAACACAUCUGAAGAAGCAGCAAACCUAGUCCGGCAGUUGUUUGAUAGACUUGAUACAAUGGUGCCAGUGGUAUUCUUCUAUCUUCUCCUUCUAAAACAAUAUAUACUUGGUCCCAUGUUUGUAAUUAUUCUUUGGGAAACAAAUUAAAAAGCAGAUAAAACAUUGUAUGUUCACUAGUCAGUGUUUAACUUUCUGAUUUUUGAAUAGUCUUCCCAGCCUUCUUUACAUACACCCACUUGCUGGUGAAACCAAAAAAGAAAAGAAUGAGACGUGCUUCUUCUCAAAUAGGCAAUGGUUAUUUUUCAUUUUCUGUGGGUUAACAGGAGGUCAUAGACAUCUAUGGACUCAAUUCUUGGAGGGUUACUCCCAGUCUAGUAUGCAGAUAAUCUGUUUUAGAACAUGAUUUGGCUCCUCCUUAGUCAUGCAAAUGAUACAAGAAUACCUGCUUUAGCAUCUGGUUUGCUGCCUUAUCUUUUUUCCUUGGGAUUUUGUCAUUUACUGCAGGCCCGAUUCUAUAUCUAAGCUUUGCAAUCCUCUGUAAGAGCUGCUAAUUGCUAAGUGGUGGCUUUCAUGGUUGGCUUGAGAUAGAAUUAGGUGUGAUAUCUCUAGUCAAUGUUGACCUCCACCUUAUUACCCAUGUUCUCUGUAGUUACAAUCUGUUCCUGACCAACAAGUUAUUUAAUCAAUACCUAGAACUAGCUGGGAAACAUUUAAUUGGGAGCAAAGUACUUUGAUUGUCUGUUGGAGAUGCGUGUUAACUUUGAACUUUUUCUUUUCUUUUUUUUGGGUGAAUUGAAGAUUCUGGAAGAUGGACCUGCAGCACCAAGAGCCCCACCUGCAAGUAAAGAAGUGGUGGCAAAGCUCCCUGUUACAACUGUUACAGCAGAUGUCUUGACCAAGCUGGGUGCGGAUAGUGAGUGCGCCAUUUGCACUGAGAGCUUGGUGCUGAAUGACAAGAUGCAAGAGUUGCCUUGCAAGCAUAUCUUUCACCCUCCCUGCCUUAAGCCCUGGCUGGUAAAAGCUUUUGCUCCAUUAUUACCAUCUGUAGACAAAUUUUGGCUUCGUUUUAUGAAUGAAAUUUAUCAUUUGCUAGGUACCUUAUAAUUCCCAUGGUUUAUUGAUUAUUUUACACACACAAAUGCGUGCGUGGCCAUUGCAUCUGAUUUUCAUUUUUAUACAAAAUUCUUCUUCCACAGGAUGAACAUAAUUCUUGUCCAAUCUGUCGGCAUCAGCUGCGAACGGAUGAUCAUGACUACGAAAGUUGGAAGGAGCGAGAGAAGGAAGCUGAAGAAGAGAGAAAAGGAGCAGCAAAUGCUGUUCGAGAAGGGGUGUCCAUGUAUAUAUAGGUUAAACUGUUAUUUCUAAUGUUUUGGUAUUCCAGUGUUCUUGUAAUGGCAUAAAACUUUUGUAGUAAUAAACAUUAUUAUUUUUUCUUGAUUUGGUUAUUGACUAUUUCAUGGCCUUCUAGUUAAAUUCCAUUGUUUCUUAUUUCUAAUUCAGAGAUUUUAUUAUUUAGCAAUACGCUGUCCCUGAGGGGUUGCUUCUUGUAAAGCAACACUAUUUCAAACUUGAUCUAGAAUGCUAGAGACGACAUGGAUGAUCUGGGGUUGUUUGGUUUUCAAGUCCUGGGAUCUUAUUGACAUUAGCUAUUCAUUUGUACCUUAAAAAAAAAAAAAGUUCUUGGUGCAUGUCUGAACCUUUCCGUGUACCCUUCUUAUGAAGGGUGUAAAAUGUAAAUACAAUGACAUAAGUAAAAUUCACUCACACAUGAGACAUGCAACAACAAAAUGCAUCACUAAAACGUAAUGGGGCAAUGUAUAUGGGAUUCAAUGAAGCCUCGUAGGGCCAAAGUUGAUUCUUGAAGACCUGGAUCUUAUCCAAAAGAAGAAGAAUGCAAAAUGUUUAUGGAAUAUUGACGGCAUUAGUCCUUUCUCUUUUUUGCUUUCUUUUACACAUGCCUUAGUUUAGGUAAUCAACUAAAAUGAAUGAGACAGGGUUGAAAACACUAUUUUUAUUUUUUGCCUUGUUGUAGAGUGCAAUUGCAUGCACGUACGUAACCUGCAAAAUCAUGUGCUUCUUUCUACUGGAAACGUAAUGUGAAGGUAUUUGGACUGAGCCUGAGGUAUCACCAUCUUUGUGGUCAUCACAUCCAUAUCUAUGGUCCCUUCUAGUUUUACUGCUUGCUAGCUGGCUGUUAUACAUACAACUCAGUCCGUCCAAAUCAGUAGUUACAUUCCUGCAAUUUAUUCUUUUAGCCUUUUCUUCUUACUUGUUGCAAGUUGUCAAUAUUGCAGAGCCGUUGCCAAAUCAGUCCGUCCAAGUGUUACUAAAGCUAAAGAAUAGCAGUACAGAGUUCCCACACUUCCCCCCCCCCCCUCCCCAAAAACAAAAGUCACCGCCACCGCAAUCUCAGCCAUCCCUUAACCGCACACCAGACGCUGAGAUAAUUGAAGAAGGCCCACUACCGCCGGACCUUAUUGCGGAAAGUGACUUUACAUUUCCCUCGAGGAAGUUGUUGGUUUCCGCCCCGGAGGAAUGCUGGGGAGGGGUGAUUUGGGGUGGGGGGAGGGGGGGGCGGGUGUAUGAUUUGAUGCUGGUGUGCAUGAAAAGACAAUAAUAAAGUCAAAUCACUCGUAUUUCCUAGACUACGUGUAAUUAUGCAGGCGAGUUUGGAUAACCGCUACUUAGCCUUGUUUGGAUUGCUGUUUUCUGUCGAAAAAUUACGUCGUUUUCCGUAAUUACAUUUCCCUAUUAGCUUUUUUCCUCACAUACAUCAAAUCGCUACAGUAAUUUUUUCAUGAAAAAUCAUAAAAAAUGCAAUUCAAACACAUUUAAUUUGGUCCUUGAAGAUUAUAUAUAUAUACGUACAUACGCAUAUACAUAUACAUAUAUAUGCCAUACAUAUAUAUAUGUAUGUAUGUAUAUUAUAUUAUAUAUAUAUAUUUCGGUCCUUGAAGAUUAUUAUUAUUACUUCCGGACUAGGCUCGCAGCUUCUAUUACUCAUUAUCUAAUUCGGACCAUGAGGGCUACUAUCAAUUUAAUACUGCUAUUGAAGAUAAAUACACAUAAAAAGCAUCAAGAGAAAUUCGUUUGGAAAGAUCACAUGAAUCAUUGAAAAUUGAGUUCCCAAAGGCUCCACAAUUUACAGAAAGACAUCAUAUCAGUAGUCUUAGUUUAAUAUGGGGCGUUUUUACAAUAGACUUGUCUUUUCCACACCUAGAAUACUAGAAAAUUUUAAAAUAGGGAUAAUUUCACAAACCUUCCCUAAGGUUUAUGACAAUUUCACUCGUCUCCCCUCAAAUUUUACAAAUUACAUUGACCUCCCUUGUCACAAUAAAAUGACUAUAAUAACCUUCACUUCAUAAAUAAUUCAUAUUAUAAUGAAAUAAAAAAAAACUUAAUCUUUUCGACGAUCAUGUUUAUAAGUUAUAACUAACGAUGAUUCCGCUCACUUACUGUCACUUCGUUCUCAUCUAUCAAUCCCUUCCUCCUAAAAUUAUCACCAACUAUUGCCUAUAACUACAGCCAAUCACACCACAAGUAAUUCUUUAAACUUUACUAUAUAUUCUUAUUUCUCCUUUCUUCUCUUUAAAAUUGUCAAAUCACAAGUUUAGUUGAAAGAUUAGAUUUAAUGGUUAAAGUAAAAUCCAAUUUCACGGUCAAACUAAAAACAGAUAAAAAGGCACACAAUAAUAACACAAUUAUGGGCCAAAAGAGGAAGAGAGAUUAAAAUUGGUAAUUUUGUUAAUUUGUCUAUCAUCCAUUCAAAAAACUUUUUAAAAUUAAUGUUAAUAAGUACAUUUACAUUUCUUUUUAUACUUGACAAUUGUUAGUUGUGGUUUCAUAAUAGAAAUAGAGUUUCUUCUCUGUAUUUAAGACGUUAACAUGUUUGAAGAUUUGAUGGUAGGUUAGAUUAUUUUGUUUUAAGAAGGUGUGCAUUAAUUUGAAAAUUGGGGUGUGAUUAGUUGCAAACAGAAUUUUGAUUUUUGGUAAAAUAAAUUUCUUGAAAAUUUCUAUAGUCAUAAUGAUGCCUUUCCUUCUUUUAAACUUGAUUAAUCCCAUCCAUGCAUCAAUCUCCUUUUAAGGUUUUUUUUCAAGGCCAUAAUGUGGCACAUGUAGUGGGAGUUGAGCCACUUAUAUGGAACCAAAUCAUGGCAUCCCAUGUUGAAAAUUAUUCAAACAUAAUGGCAGUUGAUUUUGAAUUUGACUGAAGGAUGGAACAAAUCUUCAGUAUUGAAUAUAUGUUUUGGGAGAAGCAAUUUUAUGACUAUGAUGAUGGAAUUGCUUGGAUUUAGAAUUUGGAAUUAGACUAUUUAUUAGGCUAGUUUGUUAAUAUAGUGGGUUUAGUUGAGAUAUGAAAGAAAACAAUUGGCAAAAUAAUUUUUGUUUUAUUUUUGUACAAAAGGGUAGUUUAGGGUUUUUGAGAAAAAAUAUAGCCUUUUGGACCUAUAUUGUUAUAUAAACAGUAAAAGCAAGGGAGGUAGGUGUAAUUUAAUAAACUUGAGGGGAGGUCUCUACAAUUGUUAGAAACCUCAGGGAAGGUUUCUGAAAUUAUCCCUUUAAAAUAUAUCAAAACAAUAAGAAGCAUUAUAAAAUGAAUGGUACGUGAAAGCAAAAGCAUUAAAAAAAGACAAAUUCAUAGAAUGUACAAUCGAUUGAAAUUUCAUUUUAAUCUCUGAGCUUUGGAAGUUUUCAAUUUCAUCCCAAAAACCAGUAACUAUAAAAAUUGCUACUGCUAUACAAGAAUGAAACAUAGAUGAAAAUCUGCAUGUAGGGAGAUAGACGAAAAUAUGCUUGUGAGGGAAGGACUAAUUUCACUUUGUACUCUUGAACUUGUAUUAUAUUCUCAUUUUACAUCCUAAAUUUUAAUUUUAGAUACUUGACCCUUACCUCUCAGAUUUAUUGCACUUAAAUCUGAUUGAUAAUAUCGUUAGCAAAAUUAAAGGAAUAGAGGACUGUGCAAAUCAUUAAAAAUAUAUCAUUCUAUUGUGACUGUGAUCCUUUUGCUUUUUGACCACUUUCAGCAUAUUGUCAUCGAUUUGCGCAGUCCUAUAGUCCGUUAUUUUUGCUGACAAUAUUAUUGAUUGGAUUUAAUUAGGAUAAAACGGAGAAGUUACUGUGCAAAGUGUUUGAAGUUAAAGUUUAGUGUGCAAAGCGAAAAUAUGAUACAAAUUCAAAGGUAUGAAGCGAGAAUGAUAUUUUAGUCAAUUCAUUUGUAUUUUAUUUAGUUUUGACAACAAAAUAUAGCUUUGGCAAACAUUGAUAAUCGAAUAAAGAUUACAUUUUGAUGUGAGUUGCCAAACAACCAAUUCAAGGAAAAAACCUAUUCCUAUUGGAAUUACCUUUAGAUUCCGUCAUUAGAUUCAGAUAUUUACUAAUUUAUUUGCCCCAAAAUUAUUAUAUAAUUGAAAACUGAAAAGUACUCUAAUUAACAAGAUCGUAUACAAACUUGUGAUUUUUCAGCCUAAUAUGUUUAUUUUUCUUUUAGUUCUAAAGACAUAGUCUAAUUUCAACACUAAAUUUGAGUAAAUUUUUUUUUUGAUAUUAAAGCACAUUUUAUCUGUCCUCCUCUUGUACAAACAAAGAUAAUUUGUUGAAACGAGAAAAACCCAUUAUUAGAAAACAAAAACGUAAGAAAUUGAGAAUUAUUCCAUUUUAAUUCAAGAUUAUGUAGAAUAUUUCUAUUAAGUAUAACAUUUUUUAUAAUGUAAUGUGAGAUAAAAAGGUAGUUGAAGAAAAAAACGAAUUAAUUAUUAGCAUAGAAUAUCAGAAGAAUCUCCCAAAGAAAUUUCCAAAUAAUCACUUUGUAGUUACUCACCAGCUAUGAACUUGUUUGCUUUUCUUUUUUUAUGAACUUGUUUAUUUGUUCCGAAUUCGAAUCUUUCACCUGAUAGUUGUUGAAUGUGAGAAGGGGACGAGAAGAGAUGGAAGGGUUACAAAAAAUUUGAAAAGUGGUUUAAUUUUUUUUUUAGUUGGCAUGAGAAAAUUGGCCCGGUGACAUUUUGUGUGGGGACCGCGCAGCGCAGCACUCGCGCAAUCCGCUGACUUGGUGUUGACAUGUCACUUUCCUAGAACCGCACGUGCGACCUUGCUCCCAUUGGAUGCUUUAGGUCAUUGCUGACGUGGCAUCGACCCCAUCUCCUCCACAUUCAAAAGAUGGCCGUUGAUCUGAUCAUGAACCAUCACAUCACCUCCGUCUGUAUUUACAUUCGGGCCCCGCCAUUUAAUAAAUAUCCAGCAAUUUUUUUGGGCAAAAACAUAAACGAUCAUUUCAGAAACCACCCAAGAGGUUUUUUGAAAAUAUCAUUUUGGUACCUCACAAGUUUCCAACACUUAGGUCUAGCUGGGGAGUUUUGAAGAGAAAAAGAAAAGAGGACAAAAUCUAAAACAUGAGAGAAAAGAAAAGAAAAGAAGAGAAGGAAAGGAAGAGAUCCUCAAGUUAUUAAAAGUUUAAGAACAAAACAAAAUGGUUUUGGGCAUGUUUGGUGUUAAUAUUUUUUCAUAUUUUAUGAGUAAAUUUGUCAUUUAUAAAAAGUUUGCAUGUAAGAAUUUUACUUUCUUUUCAUUUCUCUCUAAUAUGAAGAUUUUUUUUUUUUUUUUUGUACUUAACUAUCUGUGAUCCUAUUUUUCUCAUUUUCCCUUCUUUUCCAUCCACUCAAAACUCCCAAAAAAUAAAAUGGGUCAGUCCUCUCCCUUCUUUUCUGUUCUUUUCUCGCCAUAUCAUUCUAUACAAACUAAGCCUCAGUUGUGUUCAAUUUUCACCAUGGAACAACAGAAUCGAAGAGUAAAAAUUGGACCAUAACUAGCUGGCAUCAGCAGAAAACUUUUUAAUAUUCCAUUACCGACCGUAUGCAUUUUAAAGGGAACAUAGACACAUGCAUGAACUUACUACAAGAGAAACAAUUCAGUAAUAUAUUACGCAAGCUGCCUUAGGAAGCUUCAGCUUUGAGUUUUCUUAAUAUUGUGCAGGAAAAUUUUCACUGGACUUUUGGGGUUGGUAGAUAUUUUCAGGAUUCUUUCGAAAUCUUUCAGAAGAUUUCGACCUAGUUCCAUUAUGGUGUUGACAAUUGAUUUAGGUUUUAAAGUGUUUUUUUUUUUUUUGCGAUCAAAUGUAAUUUUUGCAAAAGCACAAUCACAAUCUGAGUUAGGUUUUUUUAAUAUACAUCAUAAUGUUGCACAAAGUUGAUAACCAAAUGAAUCUCGUUGCUCCAUUUGAAUUAGCUAUUGUUGGGUGCUUUUGAAAAAUUUUACUGUAAUAGUGUAUAUGAAAAAUUUUUACAAUAAAAAUUUUUUAAAAUAUUUGAUAUAUUGUAUGAAUGAGAUGUUUUUUGAGUUAUUGUAUAUUACUGUAGUAUUGUAUUUAAAAAAUUUGUUUUUGAAAAAAUGACCAAUCCAAACAGAGCAAAGUGCAUUUUGCACAUAUGCAACUAGUUAACAAUGUUGAGAUACUAAUAAAAGAACUAUUACUUCUAAAACUCUAGGAAUUAGAGGUUUUGAACUCAAGUUUUCCCGAACGUUUCUUAAAUCCCACCAUUUCCUUAUUGGAAAUAAUUUUUUGUUAAUAGAACUAUUGCUCAAACGUUACGUAGAUAAAUUAUGCUUCAAUUUAGGAGCUAAUCACCUAAUACACGAUCUAUUUUCUAUCGGUACUUAUGGCCCAACAAUGCAUGUCACGAUACAGCAAGUUAUAAAUCUUAUACUUCAGUUAUAUAUAUAUAUAUAUAUAUAUAUAUAUAUAUAUAUAUAUAUAUAUAUAUAUUGAAAUCUCACGUACUAAUGUAUUAAAACAAUGAGAUUAAUUGAAGAUUUUGGUACCAAUUUGGUUAAAUUUAUGAAGAACGAACUGAUUAGUCUAAUAGAGUUAGUACCUGUAGUAGUUGCAAAAUUGAAUAGAUCAUAAUGAGAGAUCUAUCCUGCUCUCGUAGUCAUCCUUAUCCCAUAUAUUUUUUCUUAAAACUAUAUAUUCCUCUGAUAUAUCACGUCUGUUUAUCACUUAUCUGACGAUUUUGCUUGACCUGUCUAGAAAAUUAAGUUUUGUGACUUUUGUCCCCUUGAAAAGUGAAAAAUUUUCAGAAGUAACUCUAUAGAUAAAAUUUUUGGAUUAAAUUUCUAUACACAUACAUUUUUUCCAUUUGAUGCAUAACAUAAAAUUCGAAUUUGCAUUUGAAACUCAAAUUUUAUAUAUAUGUCGUGCAUCCAACAGUAAUAGAGUAUACACUGUUAGUAUAUAUAAAAUUUACUCAAAAUUUUUGGCCCCAAUGAAAGCUUUGAAAUUUCUAUAUGAUACCCGUAAGUAAUAUAUAUGUAAUGCCUCUCAAAGUAAAUGUUCUAAUUCUACCUCUACGUAUUAGUAUGCCCUCAAAAAAAAAAAAAAAAAGACCAAAGGACGAAUAAGUACUAUCUUAAAAAGAAUUAUAAAAAUUUUCAGUUCAUUUUUUGCUCAACUAGGGAAUAUUAUCACUUCUAGAGCUCUAAAAGACAUUUCCAGUGUCAUAUCACACGUCCAAAAAUUUCACCCUAACACUAACUUAUGACUUAACAGUUUGUUGCGCAUUUUGUUUCGGCAACUUUUGAUAUCACUUAUUACUACACAUGAUUUUUUGAUUAAGUUGAGGAAGUAUUGAUGGCCAUUGACCAAAAGAAAAUGGUAACAGAAAAUUUAUUCAGCAUUGAAUAUACAAAUCUAGAAUUGCAAAGACUUGUCAAUUUUGGCAAUUUAAUGAGAAUUAAUCUGUGAUGGGAGGGUAUGGUUUUGUCAAGAAGAUGAUAAUGGAGAUGCAGCGGCGGUGGCAGCCAAAAAUUGUUGUGUGCUUUGCAGGCAACAGACCAUGGUUGGCGGUGCCGUGACAGCAAAAGCAAAUAAGCCAUUUAAUGGCACCAAACCGAUGGAUAUAUUCAUUUGUCAUCAGGUUUAAUUCCAAGGGUCCCCAAAACUUGCUGGUGCUGCACAGUUGCACAGCCCAGAUUUAAUUAUCUUUACCUGCCUAUCUGCGCAAUGUUGGCUUGCCUAGUGCAGAAAGUAAGAACAACUUUCCUAUUUGGAAUAGAUUAAUGUUACAUGGAAAAUCUUCUCAAAGAAAAUUUUAUGAAAAACCUGGCUUUUUUAGGCGGAUAUAUAGCUUCUACAAUUAUCAGAUUCAUUUGCAUGCAUGGUGUAACAUUUACACUAACAUAACAAAUAUAAAUACUGAACUAACAAAUCUAUAGACAUUUGAAAGACAAAGUAUAAAAGUGCAAUAAAUUUUAUGGCUCCUUAAAAUUUUAGUUUCAAACUCAAUCUCGUUCUUCCAAAUUCAAGAUCUCACCACGAAUUGUAGUUUGUAUCACUAUUGUGAUAUAUUGCAGAGAACCCAUAUCUAUAUGAGUGUUUAAUUUUGAUCAGUUGAAUUGAUGUUGACUAGAAGGAUUGAACCGCGGGCAAGAAAGUUACCUAGUUGAGUAAUUUACAAUAAAUUUUGUAGUGGAAUUUACCAGUGUGAUGUGAUGCUCAAAGAGCAAUUAUUAGAUAAGACUGUAAAAGGGAAUUAGAAGAUAAUAAUAAUAAUGAGAACUGCCUUUUCCACUUUUUAAUGCAGUUUAAGCUCUAACAGUAAGAUAAUAGGAGUUCUCAAAAUAAAGGGUUCUCCUUCUAAUGACGUGACCUAAGAACAUAUAUUAUAUCUCUCUGAAGUAAUUAAUGAUACAUAGUGAAAGACUGAACUUUGUUUACCAUUAUUUUUCUCUUCCUACUCCUCAUUUUCUAAGCUGCAAUACUUCAUUUCCAUUAGAUUUAAAGAAAGGGUAAGUGAGAGUCAAUGUUUGCCAUUUGCCUAUUGCCACAACACAUGUUAAUUAGUUAUGCCAUUGAGGUUUUCCCAAUACACUUUCUCCAUCUUCAAAAGUAAUCAUCUUUGCUUCUCCAUACACGGAAUCGCAAGGUGAUGUACACAAAUCGUAUUCAAUGACCAAAUGAGAAAGAAUUAAUGUAAAAUUGAGCGUCCUUUAUAUUGAAGUUGGAAAUUCUAUCAUAGGGAAGCCUCAUUGCAACCUCACGAUCUAAACCAUCCAUUAGGGAGAAAAAAAAAUUAAAAAAUGACGCACCCCCUAAAUAUUGAGUACCUUAAUUUUUUUUUUGCAGUGUAGAUUUGUGGGGGAGAUAACAAUAAAGGCUCCUAAGCAUGUAAAAUUUUCCAAUUGAAGUACCUAAAAUGUUGCUACUACGUCAUAUUGAGAUGUGUUGAAUGAGCAAAAUGACUUCUUGCAGCGAAAAAUAAAACUUUUGAAUCAUUUUCAAUUAACGGUCUUGACUAUAGCAAAUGAACAAUUACUUCUUUUUUGCUAAUUUUUAUUAGCUCUCUUUACAUAUUCACAUGACUUCAAACAUUUAGCAGCAAAUGGUAGUAAACUUUCAAUUUCCACACAAGAUUAUAAUUUUGAAAUUCUUUUGAUAGUCCGCAAGUAGUGACAUAUCUUGAUUUUGGUUUAUUACCAAGGUCGUUGAUUUUGUAACUUUUAGUCAUAGUUAAUUUGGCACAACCAUAUCUUUUUAUAUGCCAUACGUAACAAUUAUUUACCGUGCUACAAAAAUUCCUCCACACGUAAUCAAGAUCAUCUCACAAAAAAAAAAAAAAAGAGAAAAGAAAGCAAUAGUAGUGUUUAUACAUCAUUCAGACCUGUCAAGCUACAGUGAAUCAGAGAGAUCAGUUAUAUGGAAUCAAUGAAUGCUGAGCUUUCUAGUUUCUACUAGCAGAGUUUUUGUGUAGUUGUAUUGCAUCCCUUCCACAUCUUGCAAGUGCAAGUUGAUAAUCAUCUCAUCUCAUCUCAUCACAUAAGAAGAUAAAGGGAAGAGACUAGUCAGCGAGAGAGAUGGAAAGACAGAGGCAUUCAUAUGUCAUUCAUUUCUCACACAAACGGUGGAGGGGUGGAAUCAGAAAUGUGAAUGGUAUCCAAAGAGAAAGAGAAAGAGCUUUUGAAUUAGGUUUCCUCUGGUGAUAAUAAUGUGUAGUAAUGGGUUCUGGACCUUGUGGUCUAUGGUCCUUUCUUGAGUGUUUUUCGCUGUAGGAAAGCCAUUCGUCAAAACCAUCUGCUGGGCACCUGCGAAAUGAAGGGGAUUGGUGGAAUCAGGUUUUCUAUAACCUCAUCUGAUAGAGAAGCCAAUGCUGCAUCUGUCUUUGAUGUUAUCCACAAUUAACAACACAGCAGCAGCAGCAGCAGCCAGCAGAAGUCAGGCCUCUUUCCCACUUUCGUUUGCCUUCCUCUCUUUCAUUGCAUACCAUAAUAUUUUAUAAUUCUUGCUUUUUUUUCUUGUCCUAUUUUAAUGUUCUCUAGUUUAUCCUCUCUUUCUCUCUCUCCCCCGGCAACAAACCCUAUUUUUCCUUUAUUUUUUUUUUGUUUUUUCCUCUCCAAAAUUGACUGUUUUCUUGUGCUUCUUCUCUAUUUGUUUAAUUCAUUUUUAUGGUAUGGUAUCUUCUUCUUUGUCUUUUCGAAAACAGAAGUCAAUAUUAUUAAUAAACUAGUUAAAAAUAGUUAAUUAACCUUUGAUGAUUUAUUGGGACUUUUGAUUUGCUUUGCAAAAUUUAGAAUAAGCAGUUUAGAAAUAUAAAAAAAAAAUAUAUACUACUACAUCUUUGGAGAUGUUGGGGUUUAUCAAUUAAUUACUUAAUUUUGGUACAUAUUCUCUUUAGUUUUAUACAAUCAGUUGUUACUUAGGUCCAUAUGACAAACACAAGGUAAGGGUAUAAACUAAAAUUAGUCCUAUAUACUUUAUGACAGCAUUACUUAGCAAUCAGGUUAAAAAAAGUUCCAUAUUCUAAUUUGUGAAUCUCGUGCUAACGAUUUUUUUAUCUUUUUAUUUUUUUUUCUAUUUAUAACAAAAAAUUUACAUGUUUUGCACUUUAUUUGACAAAACACAACUUCAGAUUGAUUUGCCUUUUUUUUUUUUUUUUUGGGUGGGGGAGAGGAAGGAGGGUUUGAGAUAUAAGCUCUAGCAGGGUUAGGAUGUUAAACAAGAAGUUCGACAAACUGAAACUUCCUUGUCGUUGUAGAAAAUGCCAUCUUGGUAUUUUUAGUAAAAAAUCUUGAAACGCAAGGUUUGUUAAAUGGUAAAAUAGUUGUAGUACCACUGUCUAGUAAAAGGUUUGUAACUUGAAAUUUAAUUUUGAUAUGGAACAAGUCAUGGACAAGGUUUGAGAGAACAACAUUGGAAAAUUACCUAAGCUCUAUCAGUGUUUCUCACUUCCAAAGCAAAAGGAUAGCUGUGGAUUCAACAACAUAUAAAGCAAACCAUAUGAAGUGUCUCUAAUCAUAUAAAUUCUUCUGCAAGGAAAUCUAAAAUAAAAAAAAAAAAACGAAGAUUAGGUAUUGGAAUUUUGAUGAUGCCAAAACAUGAAAUGCGGUUUGAAUAGGGACUUUGACUUCCAAGAGAAUAUUUAGUUGAGGUACUCUUAGUUGGGUUUGGUGCAGGUACGUACAGUUGAGAUUUCGUAUAAUUAUUUGGUUAUUGUAUAGUUCACACAACUUGGUGUACAUUGAUAUUACUUUAUUGUGUAUGUGAAUUUUGUUCAUGUAUAUCAACUUAAUAUAUACAUACAUCCACCUGUGUAAAUACAUAUCAACUUGUCGCACGAUUGUAUCAAAUCUCAACUGUAACUGCUUCAAUCCUCUUUUAAUUCUUUAACUUAAUUUGUAGCCUAUGUCAGGGUGAAACUUGAAAUUUUUAUUCUUAACUAAGUGAAAAAUUAAUCAGGUACUAGGAUGCUUCGCCAAUAAUUUAAUCUCUCUGUCAUACUAAGUGCUCGUGAUGACAUAGUAAGGAGAGGUAAUCAUGAGGUCCUUGCUUCAACUCUCAAAUCCUUUCCUUCUCCUUUCUUCUGCGUAAGAUUUUAGGUCUUCUUUGAAUGGAAAACAUAGCAAGUAAAGACUGGAUCCUAGUUACCGGUACACAGAGUUAAGGGCUUAUAGUGCUUCAAUAUCACAGGCUCAAAACUCCAAGAAUUUGGAACUAGGAAAUUAAUAUGUACAAUCAAAAUUAAAAAAAAAAAUGGCAAUUAGGUAAUGAUCUGCUUUGUUUAAACUUAAACUUUCAUCAGUUGUGAUCUGGAAACUCAAAUUUCCUUUCAAGUAUAUGGCCUACAACAUAUGUCAUACUAAAAAUAUUACCACCAGACGACCAACUCUGAAUACGAGAUAACAGGAAUUAAUUGUAAGAAUUCAGUAGUCUUUUUUGGCAGAUAUCAUCCAAAAAAUUCAGCCUAAAUAGAUGUGUAGUCAACUACAAUUUCUGAUGUGUUCUAACCUACUUGUGAAUCAAACAGCUGAUAAGUAAUGGUAUGGAGUUCCAGUAUGAGACUGCUAGAAAAAUUGUAGACCAAAAUAAGUUCAUAGAAAUGAAUUAGAGCAAGAUGAAACUUCAAAGUUUUUCUGCCGAAGAUUGUGGAGUUUGACUGCUAGUUGCUCCUCAGAUUUCAGAUUAGAGACUAAGUAAAAGGGUAGUUGUUAAAUGAGUAGUCUUUUUUGGCAGAUAUCAUCCAAAAAGUCCAGCCUAAUGGAUGUGUAAUCAACUAAAAUUGCUGAAGUAUUCUGACCUGCCCAAUAAUACAUGUACUGUUCUGCUGUUAUCUUUAAGAUAAACAAUUGAUUUAGAGCUCACAAAGCAUUAUCAUAUUAACAAACAUUUUGUUGCUUCUGCACUCCGUUAAAAACUGCUGAUUGGAUGUUGUCAUGUGAGAGAGGCUUGUGCCAGCAAUAACCGCAGCUUUGAGCAAUGGUAUGCUUCUGAAGAAAAGUAAAUCUGCACUGCCUGCUUGGUAGUGGGAGCAUUCCCUUUAUUUCAUGUCUCAUCAACAAUAAUUUCUGCUCUCAGAGCAAAUGUUGCCUACCAGCAGUUGGGGGAGUAUUAUCUAUAGAUUGGGUUGUGGUCAGAGUUAAUAAUUUUUCUGAGAUCAAUUACUUCAUUGCUCCCCAAGUACACAACAAGUAGUACUUGUGAAUGUCAGCUUGCAAUUUUGAAUAGUAUUAUUCUCUUGGAGAAUGGAUAUGAUUUACUUUGACAUAAAACAGGUAACUUUUAAUUAGUAGUACCCUACAGGUUGUCUUUUACAUGAGGAAAUUUUACCAAAUUUGCCACUGACAUAGCAUUCUGCUGGAGGGUUUCAGAAGCAAUGCCACUGCAACAUCCUAAUAGUGCUUAGAAAUCAUGUAAUGAGUGUCUGGAGAAGCCACAGCAAGAAAUGGAACAGAAACUGAUAUGAAAGAGGGGAUGGUAUGGAGCAUUUCUGUCCUUAAUAGGCCGUAUAGUGGCUUUGCAAAAAGGUUCAAGUUCUCUGUUUCAUCAUCAGACUAAUAAUUUUCAGCAAAUGGAACGGAAAAUAUUGAUUUUAUGGCUUUUUUUAUACUAGUGUGGUCACACAUAUAUUUAUUUAAGCAAGAAUUGAAGGUUACAACAGUAAUGAAGAUUCUCAUGUCAGUUUCUAUGGCUUCUUUGAUGACGUCCUCAGAAUCUGGUCCCAGUGUAUAAGCUUGCAAACAAAUAGAAGAAAACCCUUUAGAUAAUCUGUGUCCGAGAUCACACAUUCAAUCAUUAGGAUGUUAAUUUGUUCACUUAAAAAUGUGUGUUCGUUGAUAUUCUUCUUAAAGAAAUGAUCUUACAUUAUCUGAUAGAUGUUUGACCUGCUGUGUGAAUUCAAAGCUAAAUUCAUGGUUUUGUGACAGAGAGUCACACUAGAUGCCAUUUCUCCAACCUUUGAGAAGGGCUAUUCAUAAAAUUGAGCUGAGUUUGCUGACUUGAAAUGGAUUCCAUGUGAAGUUUCCCAAGUUAUCACAAAAUUUGUUUUGUAUGCAUGUGUUUCAACCAUUUUUAUUAAAUGUCUGACUUAACGAAGAAGACAAUCCUUUUUUCCCCCAUUUUUAACAACAAAGGCAUAGUGGAAUCUAAAAAUAAGUUCCCAGUUCUUGAGUGUUGGCCGGAGUUUGAUCAUUUGUUAGUUCUACCAUAGUUGUGAUCCCUUAAAAAUAAAAUAGAUCUUUAAUUGGAAGUGCGAAAAAGAGAUUUGAAUAAAGCUAUUUCACACUGAGCUUUCUUUGGUUGCAAUCUAGCAAAGGGAAAAUAUUGAUAUGUGAGACCAUAGUUGUGUAAGCAAUCAUAGGAGAAGAGUACAUUAGUAUCCUAAAGGAUCAUUAGUCAUCUGGUUCAUUUGUGGGAUCUCUGGCUGUUGGAUGAUAGUUACCAGUUGAUGGUUCUGCCUGGAGUUUUACCUUGAUUGUUAGCGGAACUUUGGAUUCUUGACAAAAUUGCCUUAACAGGGAAUUUGACCAUUAGGUGUUAUUAGUUUGAUGGUGUAAGCUAAACUUUUUCAUCCUCUGAUGGAUGGAUGAGUCUUUGAAGCAGGAUGAGUUAGUUGCACUAAUCUAUCAAGUGGAUUGAGGUCAGCCAGACCCUAUGUGUGUGUUUUGGAGACUUUUGUGAUGAGAUUAAAAUGCAAAAAAAAAAAAAAAAAAAAAAGACCAUGCUUGUAAAUUUGAUGGCAAGUCAAGGGUGCAUCAGUUACAAAAGCUUUUUUCUAACUGCCAAUUUAAGGCUAGGAAUAAAAAAAUAUGGAACAUCCUGGUGGUUUGCCAAAAGAGGGAAAAUUCCAAAAGAAUUUAAAAACCCUAGAGACUGUCGUCAGCUAUUUAUAACACCCAUGAGACCUCUGCCUCUGCAUUCUGUACUUUGCCUUUCCAGAAAAGUGAAAAACAUGAUGUUUCAGACAACCGCCCUUCUUUCAAGACUCCACCACUUCAUUUUCAUCUGAGUACAAAUACACCUUCAAGAAAACCAGCAAAAAAAAAAUAGAAAAAACAUAAACAAAGAGGGAAAGAGAGAUGAGGGGAAGAUCUUCUUCCAAACAAGGAAGUAAAGGAGGAAUGGAAAUUGACAAACUUGAUAAACUAAAAGAAGAACCCCAUCUCUCUGGUGCAUACAUUCGUAGCCUGGUUAAACAGCUAACCUCUACUAGAACCAAAGAUCCACUCAACUCCAAGGACCAGGACAGUCCAGAAGAUGGAGAUGGAAUCCCUGGCAACACAAAUUUAAGUAAAGAUGUUGAUGGCUUCGGUGAAAAACAGCCACAAUCUCAGCCAUCCCAACAGCCUCAACAACACAAAAAACAGGUCAGAAGGAGACUCCACGCCAGUAGGCCGUACCAAGAGAGGCUUCUGAAUAUGGCUGAGGCUAGAAGGGAGAUUGUCACAGCACUCAAGUUUCAUAGAGCAGCUAUGAAGCAAGCUAAUGAACAACAACAGCAACAGCAACAGCAACAACAACAUCAGCAGCAGCUGCAGCAGGAAAGUGAAUUGCAACCACAGCUGCAGCCUCUGCAACAAGAACAAGAAGGGAAAUCAAAAUCUAGGAGAAAUCCGAGAAUUUACGAAUCCCAGAUGACCAACAACUUCACUGGCUAUGUAGACAAUCUUCCUUGCUCAGCCUUUGCUUGUCCUCCAAAUAAUCAUCCUUACUAUUGGCCUUUGCCUCCAGUUGCUCCACCCCUAUUCCCUGAAAAUUUCAAUUUUGUACUCCCUAAUCAACCAUUAGGCCUGAAUCUCAAUCUUCAGGAUUUCAAUGACUUAGACAGAAGUUUUUACCAAAGUACCAACAUCCCAUCAAUUUACUCCUCAACCUCAUCUUCAUCUACUUCUUCUUCACCCCCUCUUUCUGUUGCCACUGAGGAAGUCCCUAGUGUGGCAAUACCACAAGAGGGGCUUCCUAUGGUGGCUACUAAUGCUGAGUCAAGCAUGAUGAAUUUUGGAGACACAGAUUUGCACCAUGCAAUGGAUGACCAGGAGAUGGCAGAGAUCAGAUCAAUAGGUGAGCAGCAUCAGAUGGAGUGGAAUGAUACCUUGAAUUUGGUCACAUCAGCAUGGUGGUUCAAAUUUUUGAAGACUAUGGAAAUUGAUCCUGAGGAAAAGGCCGAGGAGUAUGGGAAUUUUCCAUUUGAUGAAGUCAUGGAAUUCCCUUCAUGGUUGAAUGCAAAUGAGAGUUGCUUGGAGCAACAUCUAAAUGAUUAUUGCUUUGAUGACUACAUGCAAGAUCCUGCCUUGCCAUGGUAAGAAUUUGUUUCUCUGAUUUUUUUUUUCAACUAUUUUCUGACUAAUGUAAAUGAACAAUUUUAUCUUUUUUUUUUUUAUUUCUUGCCUAUGGCCUUACUGACUUGUAAGAUUCUUGUUGUUUUGCAAUAUAGGAUUGUCUAUUCUCUUUUACGCAAUGCAACGAGUUCAUCUUGUGCUUUCUUUGCUUUGACCCAAUCUGAAGGCAGAAUCACUUUUGUGCAUGUACUAUGAUUAAAGCAUAAAGAUCAAAUUGACUUUGGGUUCUGGGGAAAUGGGAAAAUGCGAGCCUUCUUAGAUUGUCUGCUGUUCCCAAUACACACUUAAUUCUACAGAAGAAGCCCCAUAAAUUAUCAAUUAUUCUUCUUAUAUUGGCAGGUGAUCACAUAUGAUCAGUCUACAAUUAAAAUUUAGUUGAUUUGGAUGGAGAAGAAUGAAAUUGUGAACUUUUUGGUCAAAAGUUCUUAGACUCAAGGUCUUGCUCUGCUUAGUCCCAAAUGAUCUCUCAUGCUUAUCACUUGCUGCUUCUGUUUUCAGUGCAGAGAGUUAAUGAGUUAUUAAUUCACUCUUUCUUAUUCUUUUUCCCUUUCUUUUUCUUUUUUCCUUUCCUUUUUCCCCCUCUGUUUUGAUUUUCAUUCUCUGUACUUGCAGCAUGGAGAUUGAGGAAAUUGAAGGAAUGGAUGGGGAGUGGUUAUCCUGAAAAAGAUUGAUUGGUUUUUGUUAUAAUCAAAUCUUUGGCUAUUCUUUUAUGCCCCAGCAGCCAGAAAAGCCCCCCUGCCCACCAAAAUCAAGAAAAGAUUAGAAUAAGGAAAGGAGGAAGAAGGAAAAGAUGCCACUGGAAAUAUAUUCUUCUUCAUUUUUUUUUUGAUUUUGUAUUUCCUCAUUAAUAAGGCUUGCCAGAGAAUGUGAUAUGGACAAGCCAUGAAAAAUAAUAAAACAGAGAAGGAAGAAUCAAUAUUUAGUUUAUUUACCUUCCUACCAUAUUUACCUAUUAAAAUAUUUGAAUAUACCAAAUUGUUGGACAUUUUGCAGAAAUGUUUUGGCUGCCUUGACCGCCUUUUCUUUUGUAAUAACUAGGAUGUUGAAUUAUUUGUGUCAAUGAUGAAUCAUUUGGUAGCUUGAAAAGAUUGGAAUUCGCUUGGAAUUGCGGUUGUAAUCUAUGGAAAAUUUGCUUAAAUCCUAUGUAUGGAAUGCAGCAAAUCCAUUUACAUCUAGCAAUUCCAAUUUUCUCAAUGAACCAAAUACAGCCUGAGGUACAACUCAUUGCAACAAGAAGUAUAACCUUAUCAAAUUAAAAUUUCAAUUUAAUUGAAUUUCAUCUUUUGGCAAAAAUGUACUAGUCAUCAGCUUAGGGUUGCAAAUUUGUAUAUUCUUCUUAUUUGUAUAUAAUGCUAAAGCCAUCAUAUGUAACAUUGUAUCCAAACAAAUAACAGAAAAUGAAAUAAAGAAAAAAAGAAAAUGAAAAAAAAAAUUGAGCAAGCACAUUAAUUGGCUGAUACCCUAAUAUGCUGAAACAUGCAAAAGCAAAAGGAAUUGCUAAGCCCUUCAGCUUCAGGAUUUUUGGGAGACAAGGGAAAAAGAAGCACACUAGAACUUUUACUCCAUGGACAUACUUUUUUUCUUUUUCUUUUUGUUUUUUCAAGUUAUAAUACAACUUCCAUUGAUAGAGCCAAGAAUGUACACAAGUAGCUACAAAACUGCACAAGUAUUAUAUCCAACUUCCUAUGACUACCAUUACACCAAUAAAAAAGAAAAGAAAACAAUUAUUCAGCAGCAAAAAUAACAGAGUUAAAACUUCCAAUCUGUGUAGCAAAUUCUCAAUAAGCUUGAGUUCUUGAUAUUUCUCUUCAGCUAGCCAUUGCCAUCUGAAUCACUUCAACAAUGCAAGUAACUAAAGUUUAGCAGCAUGGAUUUGCACCAGAACCAUCUAAAAUUUCUUCCCUGUCAUACGCUAUAUGUUGUUACACCAAUUGCCAACUAAAUUGUAACACUAUUUGGGAAAAUGUUGGUCCAAUCGUGUGCAUUGUUUUAGUUUCCAAAAAAAAAUUAAUUAGUAACUAACUAGAGCUUCUUAUAGCGAAAAACUGGUUUGAUGAAAAUUGAUGCACAGGACUUUUUCAGAUUUUCAAACCAAAAGAGUGACAUGGGGGAACUGUCAUAAUUCAUUUUGAGCUGGGAUUGAAGAGUUUGAGUGCGUUACAUACAUAUAUGUAGACAUGGCCACGGUUCAUUUUGAGCCAGAAAUCGCACUGGACCAGACCUUACAUGAACUAUACCGGAACUGGAACUGGAGAGAGAAUACUAAGUAAGGUUUUGGUUCUGAUUCUCUAAAAAUGGAAUUGGAAUUGUAGUCUAGAAUCAUCUAAAAAAAAAGGAAAAAAAAAUGAUAAACUUGAUCCAAGUUUAAGGUGCUUGGGGCAGGAGAAAUGACUUAGGUGAUACGAGGGAGGGAGUGUGAGUUCGAGACGUCACACCUACAUUUAAAAAAAAAAAAAAGAAAAUAAAAGAAGUCUAAGUUAUCCAACUUGAAAAUACUCUCAAUUUCUCUAAAAUAGUUUAUCUUUUCUUUUAUUUAAAAUGGUUAUUAACAUUCAAUAGGGUGAAGUACUUUUCAUAGAAUUUGUAUCCCUUUUUUUUUCUUAUUCAAUAAUAAUAAAAUCAAAAACUUAUUUUUCUUCUAUAUUUUUUGUUUCUUCACCUUUUCUUUAUUUUAAAUCUAUUGUCAUAUAAGAAAUGGGAAUCGGAACCGAAAUCAUAAUCGCAAUGAACUAAAGCCACAACUUGAAUCGGAAUCAGCGAUUUCACAAUUGUUACCAGGAACCUUCCUAUAAAGUGUGAUUUUGAUUUACCUUUUCAAGGAAUCAGAACCAACUGUUCUACAACUGUUACCAAAAAGGCCUCCCCCAAUCCCCCCAUUUCCUCCUCAUAAAAAAAAAAAUCCAUAUGAUUUGUACUUUUGUACUGUGGGAAAGACAACAGUCAAACGAAAGGGGGAAAUAAACAUAAAACACAUCAAAAAUUUAGAUCCAGAUAAUAUUGCAUGGAUUAAGACUUUUUAAUUUCAUGUCCUCGUGUCUUCUCUUACAUUCAUAGCAAUUAACUUGAAAUGCAUAAACAAUCAUAGAAAUUAACUACUAAUAGAUAUGAAAUGCUCAUUUAAUACUUACAAUGCCUCAACAAUCAUAGAAACUAAUUUUAAUAUUUGCAAGUCAAAAAGAUAAAGAAUCAUAUAAAUUAACUGGAAUGAAACUCUAAUCUCAUUACACAUAUAUAAACAUAACGAUUUUAUUCAAGAUUAUCAGGUCGAUUUAAUUUCAGAUUACACCCAUCAAACUCUCCAAGAAAAAUUGACUAGUAUAGUUUAUCGAUAAAAUUACCGAUGGUGUUUUCCUGCUUUUGAAGCUGCUGGAGGCUUGCCAAUUUCUGGGUCGGAAAUACGAUUGACAACAUCUUCAACAACAGAUGCCAAGUUUUCAAGAUUUUCUGUAACUAUAGUUUCCAUGACUCCAUCAAAUUCACCAACUGCUUUAUGGCAUAGGGAGCUGGAAAUCAGGGCACGCAAGGUUUUGUGCCAUGAGGAAUAAAUGUGCAUCCACCACCGGCCCUGGUUCAUUCAGAAGUCACAAUUUCAGAAGGGCUUCUUCGAUUUCAUUCAACUUCACCAUCAGAUCAUCAACGCAUUCAAAUCGAUGACCUGCAGAUGGAGUACUUGCGAACACAGUUUUAAGAUGGGGAAUAGUUGCGACGAAUUUUCGGGCUCCUUGAACUUGUUGAAUGCUUAAUGAAAUUACAGCAACAGCAGCAAUCUUCGGGCUCCUUGAACUUGUUGAAUGCUUAAUGAAAUUGCAUCAACAGCAGCUAGCUGCUGUUGUUUUUUUUAUCCAAAUUCGACACUUCGGUAAUUUUCCGGGCAGAGCUGAAUUGGGACAGGAUAGUUAGGAGAAUAAAAGUGUGAUUAUCUUGGAGGAAUUUGUGAGGGUUUGAAUGUGAUUUUGGGAGGAUUUUUGUGAAGGUGUAGUUCAAUUAUUUUUGUCAGCAGUUAUAGGAAAAUUUUCAGCUCAGAAAUCAACGUUGAGAUGUACAUUAUGAGGUGCAAUUUGCAUGCAACAAUGUUUGUUGAGUACAAAACAACCUUAAUUGGAGGGUUAGAUGUUCCUUGAAAAAAAUUCUUAGGUAGGCAAUUAUGCAUGGGCAGUUGACGGUUCAUGGAAAAGGAUGAUGAAUGGGUGAAUCGUAUUGUGCUUACUGUUUUAGUCCAUGCAAGGAUAAUUAAAAAUUUUAUACAUUUAUGGCUCUUAAUUUGUGAUGUUUAAGCCUAAUUCCAUUGUUGGAGAAAGACUAAGACAUCACUUUAUAUGAUUAAAUUAGAAAAAUAUUAUUUGCACUCUCAUUUUUGUAAAUUGCAGACUCAUUUUUUAUUUUUAUCGUAUGCUUUUUAUUUAUUAAACUAUAUAAUAUGAUAAAUGGUGGGACUGCAAUUAAUAAAAAAUUGAGAGUAUAAAUAAUAUUUCCCGUUAAUUAUAGGAUUUGGGAUGUUUUGAAACUCAAAAUAUAUUUUAUGCGGGAAAAUUUGUAUGUCAGUGUGUAAAUCAUCCUGUUCCUAAUUAAUCAGAAUCAUUCUUCCAAUUUGGAAGAAAGUAUUGUUAAGAAGUUUACCAUUGAUUCAAUUUAUAAAUGUUGCAUUUCCUUUACUAAUUUAUCCCCAACUCCGUUGUUUUAUGUGAUCGAUGAGCUCCACUUUGGAAGAUUGAUUGUGUCAAAUUAUAUGCUAGAUACAAAAACUGAAAUUUUAGGGAUCGCAUUUCAAAUAUAACAUAGAAUGUUUUGAUAAGUGAAAAUUUUGAGUUCAAAUUACAAAACUUGUAAGUAGAUAUAUGUCAGUCUGUGGGCUUUAAGCUACUAUUGCAAUUAAAAAUAAAACGAAAACAGAGCAAGUUCUACUUCGAUUAUAGUUAAGUGAAACUAAGAAUGGCAUGAAAAGAAAUACACAAUUUCUUUGGUGUUAAAUCUUUUCACUCCAUUAUACUGACAAACAUUUUCUUCCAAAAUACAUCUAAUUAGGAACAACUUAAUUAGAUGCAAGCACGCAUAUUAAUAUAUUAAUAUUGGAAUUCUACAGAGCAGAUAAUUUAUAAGUGCCAUUACAAAGUACUACAUAUUAGAAGUUGAGCUUGAGAGUGUGAUGAUAUUUGCCUCGCUCACAUCCCAACUUGAAUUUAAUUUAGCACUUGCAAUCAUUGAAAGUGUCGUAUUUUAUACUUUGAGAUAUUUCAAAAUAUUUGUUAUAUUGAGAAAGUCAAAACACUUUUUUAGUCUAUCCUUUGAAUACAGUUCCUUUUUUUAAUUAUAUCAUAUGUAUGUUACCAUUUAAAUUCAAAUUUUGAAUUUGUGGAAAGUAAAAUUGAAAAAAAAAAAAAAAAACACAAACAUCACAAUCAAAUCACUAUUGUUAAAAAGUUGAAUUCUUAAAAUAUAAACAAAUAAUUGGGACAGAGAGAGUACAAUUUAUAUUCAUUACCACAUCUUAACCAGCAACUUCAGGGAUAUUGUCAUGACUUUGACCUGAUGUGCUUGAAACAAAAACGUUACCUUGUAUGAAUCUUAGACAACAAUUGACAUAGGAUAUACGACUCCAAAUCAUUUUUAGAGUCAACAAACUUAGAAAGACAAACAUAGGAUUUUUUGUGAUUUAGUCAUGCUGGAAAUGUUGAAGCAAAUGCAGCAUUAAUGCCAUUAGUAAGCUUUGACAGUGCUGCACCAUCCCCCUCAGCUUCAGCUUCCCCAGGAUUAGAGAGCCUCUGGAGGAUACCUAUCAAUGCAAUCAAGCCAUGGAUUUCUAGAAGGUGACCCUACUCGGCGCAACGAUCGCCAGACUGCACUGUUGCAUUUGAAACCAGAACCAAAUGAAAUCUGCCACACCCGGUCACCUCUCUUGAUCCUUUCUUUGGCUUCCAAAUAAGCCAGCUCAUACCAAAUGCUGCUGCUGGAAGUGUUGCCGAAUCGAUGCAGUGUAGCCCUUGAGGUUUCCAUGUUCUUCUCACUAAGUUCCAGAUUCCUUUGCAGCUCAUCAAGAACAGUCUUGCUUGCAGCAUGCACGCAGAAAUGCUCAAAUGCAAGUUUGUAAUCAGGGAUGUAUGGUUUUUUGGGCUGUGACCCUCCGCCGGAACCAAACAAAUGCCUCCAAAUUAGUGUUGCAAAGAAGUAAAGCUGCUCAGAGAAGGGUAGGACCAGAGGACCAAGUGUGGUGAUGUUAGUCUUGAGUGCAUCGCCCCCUAUUUCUACCAAAUUUUUGCUGAUUUUUAGUCCCUUGAACCUUUGAUCGUCUUCCUCUUGAUAAACACUCCUGCAGAAAAUUACGGUGUAAAUUUCUUUUGUCGUAGUAAACUAAAAACCAUUUUAGUGUUCCAAGAAAUUUCACUAGCUCGUCUCCUUACCAAGAGCAUAUCCAUUUCUAUUUGCACGAGUUUAAUCAAAUUAAAACCAUCUCUCUCUCUCUCUCUCUCUCUCUCUCUCUCUCUCCCUCCUUUUUUUUUGCAUUUUCUAAUUUUCAAUUUUUCACCAUUAAUCUCAUACUCAAGGUUUUAAAACUUGAACCAUUCAUUGAACUAGAAAAGUCACUGGGUCAAGGGUCAUUAGUUCAACCAUUGGACUGACCGUUUUCGACCCAUGAUGUCAUAAAUAAAUAAAUUAUAUAUUGCUAAUUUUAUCAUAUUUACAAUUUGCACAUCCCACUAUAAAGGUUUAGACACAUAAUCAUAACUAUAGUUCUUUUGCUAAUAAGUUUAUAAUAAAAUAAACUAAAAGAAAAGCAAAGAUACAAAGCAAAAGAAAAGCAAAGCAAAGAAAAAAGAGCUAUAAUUAUACCAAUAUGACAAGCUUGACACCAAGAAAAUAAGAAUCUUACUUUAGAAAAUUAGUAAAUUCAAAGUAAAAUAAAAAAAAUCAUAGAUUAGGAAAUCAAACCUACGCAUAUAGUUUAGGCACAAAAUUGAACUUUACUGAAGGAAUUUGAGAGAUCAAUGAUGGGAUGAUGAAGAGAGGGAUGAUUACGAAAAGAAGAAAUUGAAGAAAAUUAGCUAAAAAUUAGAAAUAAAGUAAGGAAGAAGAUUGGAGUCUUAGGUCUUGACUUGAGUUGACUAUAGGUUGCGGCUAUCUAAUUAGUUUCUAGUUUUUUUUAAAAAAAAAUUUUGAUCAAUUGAAUGAACCAAAUUGAUUUAGAAAAACCAUUCCAAUUUGACAAUUCACUGGUUGGACCGGCCGAGUCAAUUGAUUUCACUAAAUAAAGCGGUUUUUUAGCUACACUGGAUUUGAAGCAUAACCCGGCUUAGACAGCCACCUGAUUGACGAUUCAACCGAUUUGACGGAACGGUCCGAGCUGGGUAUUAAAACCAUGCUCAUACUACAGGAGUGUAGCCUUGAUCUAUCAUAGGGAUGGUCUGUUAUUGACCAUGUGCAAUGACAAACCAUAAAAUUGACAAUUGCAUCCUGCUGCUAUUAUUAAUAUUAUUACUAUUUUGUUAUAUAUCAAAAAAGAAUAUUUAAAAAUUAUGUCAAAUCUAGGAUUCAAAUACUGUCUGUCUAACAGUGCGGGUGAAAAGAGCGUGACAGGAGCCUCCACAUGCGGGUGAAAUACUGUCUGUCAGGAGGUGGUGUAUAUAUAUACAUACAUCUAUAUAUAUGUGAGAGAGAGAGAGAGAGAGAGGAUCCCACAUAUGAAUCUCACGUGUAAAACUUGUAUGUUUAUUCCGAUCAACAACAAAUCUUUUGGUCAAAUCCUAUGUAAGGUCCCAAUACGUGUGGUCCACCCUGUCUGUCUAAUGGUCCCCCAUGGCACGGGUCUACAACAGAAAAAUCCACUAUCAUAGACCAGCCAGCAUGAGAUAAUUGUGGUUUCGAGCAGAAAUGCCGUGGAAUGAUGAUAAUGUGUGGGCCACAGCUCACUUUUCGUCCACAACUCCACUUUUUCUUUUUCUUUUUUUGAUCUUUUAGUUUAAGACUCCGCCUAAUUAAACACACAGCUUAAUUACUUUGAUUGAAAAACUGAUCUUCUGUAAUAAUUGCGUACAUCCAUCCAUUCGUUAGUGAUGGUGUACAACUUUGGUAAUAUACUUGUUCACUGACUUCAUAUACUAAUUCACUAGUUUGGAUUAUUUUUUUUUAAUUUGUAUAAAAAAUAUGUACUGUAAUGAUUGAAUGUAUAUAAAAUAAAAAUUGAUUAAAAAAUAAACUUAUAAAGAACGUUAAUUUUUUUUAAAAAAAACUACAAUUCAAACAAGAUCAGAAAAAGGAAACGAAUAAUUGGUAGGCUUGAGCUACUUUCUAUAUCCCAGCAAAGGGGCAACGUGUUAGCAUAAUAAUGUUUAAGAUUGGAUUGUCAUUAUAUCUAUCACCACUAACCAUGUAAUGAUUUUGCUUUUAUAGUGGAAGAAACUGUCACGCAGUUCUUUGGCUGUGACCCUAUCACGAAACUUCUGCUUUGUAUUGUAGUUCUUUUUUUUUUUUCUCCCUCUCUUUCUCUCUCUCUCUUUCUUUUUCAAUACUACUAAACUUAUGGUUAUAUUUUAGAAUAAAUCUUAUAUACACUGACACUAUUACCGUUGAAUUCAUAAUAUAUGUGUAAAAAUUCUAUUUAAAAUUCAAAUUUUAUAUAAUUGUCAUUCAUCUACCUCGUACUGUACAUUAUUAACGUAAGAAAGAUUAAUCCUGUAUUUUGUUUGUUAGAGUAAUCCCAUACAUGAAAGAAUUGAAUAUAUGAGAGGGACUGGAAACAAUAUAUGGACCCAUGAUCCUAAAUGAUAGGAAUUAACAAGGUAAUUUCAGUGUUAUGGUGCUUUAAUUUGAACCAUUGUCCUAAUCUCAAGAAAAGACUCCCGAGAAGAUGCAGAUCAAUUUGGACCCACCUUUACACAAUUUCUUCAAAUGGGCGGUUGGCAAUUAAGUUGAAAUGAAUGAGUAGGCAACCACCCCCCAGUCAUCCUUCAACAAAUUAUCCAAGUUCUUAGGUCACCUUUAAAUGCACAUCAAUCAGCUAGCUCUAUGGACCAUGCACUUCCAUUAUUAGUGUGCAAAAAUAGAUUGACCACUCAUGAGUCCCAACAUCUCAAAGAGUAAAUUAAUGAGCAUGGCAACCCAAGGAGAAACUCUCUCCCGAACCGCUUGGGCAAUUGGCUCGGUGGCCCACGCCAAGAAGAAGGGGCUUAGGUCCCUCAUUGACUGUAGGUGAGGUAUGAAAUCUCACUUACAGUAAAAAAAUUUAAGGAUUAUGUCCAUAAUACCAUUGAUCUAGUUGUCUGUAUAGCCCAUAGCUCUCUACCACAUAGGCCUCCUUAGGCUCCUCCUCUCUCCUAGACUUAGGAUAGAAUAGAUUGCUACAAAUAUAUCGUUGCUGACAAAAAAAAAAAAAAAAAAAAAAAAAAGAGAAACUCUCUCCUGAUUUGACUUUUUUUUUUGUUUUCAAUUAUAUUGCUAUUACGUUUCUAUAAUAUAAUUCUUUCAUGCUUACACUAUUUGAAAUUUCAAUUGCAAACAUAAGCUCUAAUAUCGAUCUUGGAUUUAGACAUUAUUAUUAUUCCUGCACAAAUACUGAAAUGAUUUUUUACGCAAGCAGAUCUAGCUAGAUUCAUGCCACAUGACCGAACUAGACAUUAUUCCUUUUUUUUUUGGGGGGUUUUCUACUAGUUCUAAGGAAAAAAAAAUAAGAGAUCAAGAAAGCUAACCUGAAGCUACGAUCAUCAGCACCCUUAUGGGUCCUUACAAUAUGCUCGAGUCUGUACUUUGCACGAGCAUAAUCACGGCGCCUGUUGGAGAGCAAAACGGCCGAGCAUCCCAUCCGGAAGAAGCAAUUGGGAAUCAUCAUAGAUCUUUCUUUCCCGGGAUACCAAUUGAAUCCCACCAUUUCAGUGCUAACCACAACAGCAUAGCUAUUAGGAUUUGAAUGUAACAUGUCUCUAGCCAAAUCCAAUGAUAUAAUUCCAGCGCUACACCCCAUUCCCCCUAGGUUAAAACUCAGGAUAUUUCCUCUCAUUUUGUAGUGAUUUAUGAUCAUUGCUGAGAGGGAUGGAGUUGGAUUGAAAAUGCUGCAAUUUACCACAAGAAUCCCUACGUCCUUGGGGCGAAUUUUGGUCUUUUCGAAAAGCUCGUCUAGUGCUCCAAACAUCACCAUUGAUGCUUCUGCACGACCUUCUUUCAUUGUUGCUGUAUUCUCAGGGGACAUGAUGGAUUUUGGGACGUAGGUCUCAUCCCCGAUUCCUGAUGAUUCUACUAUCCUUUUCUGGAAUUCAAGACUUGCCUCGUUGAAUUUGCCUGAUUUUCUUGCCAUUUCAAUGAAUUGCUCCUUUGUUACCUGUCACGCAAAUAGAGAAUUAUUUGUUAUAAUUUCUUUUUCUAUUAACUACGCAUUAAUUAUUUUCCAGUAUCAAGAUUUCUUUAUUUGUAUAGGAAAAAAAAUAAAAAUCAACUCCGAAGAAAGAUUAGUGUCAUGUAUUUAAACAAACUCUUCUGUCUGUGUCAAAAAAUCUUUACACCGUUAACUUUUAUUAUAACUAAUAAACAUAUAAUGAUCAUUAAUAUGAUGAAUCCAUUUCCCUUAGGGACCUGUGGUCUCGCGGACACGAUUGGCAGGUGACAGUGACCCGAACAAAAGUUUUUGAUCAAACUUGCACAAACUUUUCUGCACCACAAAACACAUAUCUUUUUUUUUUUUUUUUAACAUCAAUUAAGACUUCUUUUCCUUAAAAAACAAAACAUCAAUUCAGACUACAUCAAAAGACUAUCUAUCAUUCAUGAGAAUCACAUAAAGCCCAUACUUAUCAUUUUGCAACAAAAAAAUUCCAUUUUCGUCCACACCAUUAAUUCUCUCUUCUCAUCUAGUCAUUCACACUUGAUUAAAAGUUGUAAAUGAUAUGAGAUGGAUGAACAUGCCUGGAUGAAUCCAGAAUAGUAAAAAGGUUGGGUUGAAAUUAACGUCACGAGAUUCGAAAAUUGAGAAGGAAGUUAAAAAAAAAAGAGGAAAAAAGAGUAUCAUGCAUGGAAAGUGAUAUGGUGGUACCUUGAGGUCAUCAUGGGGCCUGUAACACGCAAAGUCAAGAAGAUAGAUUGGCCGAGGCUUUGACAAGAAAAAUACAGAGAGCGUGAAAACAAGUACACCAAGAGAGGCGAGCACAGUAGCAAGAUCAUAUCCGGUGGUGCUAUCCCAAAGCUUCCUCCAGAGUUCUUCCCUGCUGAGACUUCCCAAUUCAGCACUGAACACGAGCACAAGCAAAGGUACAGU
rnacentral:lncRNA from 1 species